GAGAACGCUGCGCGGCGGGGGAGGGCCGUGCAGGGAUCUCGCGGUGUCGGGCAUGCGUGAGCGGCUCCGCUUCCAGGGCACAAACGCCGGCGAGGGUUGCCUGGCUUUAUUUACGUUUGGAAAAGACCCGUUUUAGAACACAGGCUCUAGGGCGUGAGUUCAGGUGUUGUGGUGCAUGGGCCCAGCUGCCUUGCAGCAUGUGGAGUCUCCCCAGACCAGGGAUUGAACCUGUGUCCCCUGCAUUGGCAGGCAGACCCCCAACCACUGGACGACCAGGGAAGUCCAAGGGCUCCUGUGUCCAGGAGAAGGCCUAGGACCUUGUCGGCACUGAACACGGCAGAGGUUGGCAUCUCCACCGUCACUGAAACCGCAGCACGUGGGAAUCUUAGUUCUCCAAUCAGGGAUUGAACCCAUGCCCCUGCAGUGGAGGUACAGAUUUUUAACCACUGGACCACCAGAGAAGCCCCUGAAGAACUGAAUUUUUAAUUUUAUUUAACUUUUAUUUAAACAGUCACACGAAGUUAGUGGGAGCUGUACUGGGCCAAGCAGCUCUAGUUUGCUGAGUCUGCUAAGCCCAGUGGGUAAUGGGUGGCUGUACAGGACACAGACACAGGAAGAACCCGAGGCCUGCCCAGCCCAGUCUCAAAUAGGGCAGUGGGAAUACUUCACUUCUGUCUACUCAAGCAUGGGCCACUAAAGCUGAAACAUAGGAUGUGACAGCCCCAACAGGGCCUUCCUCGUGCUAGAAGCCAGAGCCAGCUCUGCGUCAUGGUCCAUCCAAAGAAGACACAAGAGGAAGCCAGGAAGGGAUUCAGAGUCGGCAUGCCUGAGAGUGCAAGUGUUGCCACAAUGUCCCACAUUGGAAAAAGGAAAGUGUCAGGAGGAAGGGGGAAACAGAGGCAAGGGACUAACCUGUAGACGACUUCAUUUGAAGUUGUUUCAUCAAAUGCGAAGUCAAAGCAGAAUGCUUGGUUCUCCAGAUACUUUGUUAAGUCCACUUUUAACUUGGGCUCAUGGACCAAGAGGACACACUUGCUAGGAACGGAAAUCACAUCAAUUUCUUUCUUGGCCAACUCUGCAGAAGGACAGUAUUUCAGGGGAUGCUCCCUGGACACGGGGGACCCUCAGUCUGAAGCCUCAUUCUGACUGAACUUACCUUGAGGCUAAGGUAAGAUGGAGCUUACCUUGUUUAUUCAGUGGGCGUUUCCUAACACAGACACAUAUCCUGUGCUCUUCGAUCUUCAGGAGGAGGAGAGAAGACAACCGUCAACAAAAGGUUGGAUUCUUCCUCACAGAAAGAGGCGUGGAAGACAGGGCAGGACUCAGCCUACACAGUAGCAGUCUUCUAAACUGGAACCGUGAGUCUACUCACAGCUUCCUGAGACCCAAGAACAUCAUUUCUGGCACAAACCCCAUGACAGUGAGCCAGUAGAAAUCCAUUUACCUUCCUUUGGAGCAGGAAUUUUGGAGCUGACUGAUCUGCGCUUUUGUUUCUGAAAAACAGAACAAACCACCACAACAUAUGGGUCUUAUCAGCUCUCAAGGGCCUAUCCUGGGCCCAUGUGCUGUGCUGAAGUACUAAGCAGACCCAGAAAACAAACCAGCAAAGACCCAAACAAGCCGAGUGCAUCCUCUGGGGCAUGGCUGUAGUCAGAUGACUGGCAGCUACCUGAACCGUUACAUUCUCCUGCAGGGGAAGAUUGUCCUUCGGGUGUAAAGGAAGAAGCUGUAAGAGUUCUGGGUUUAUUGCAGCCACAUCAUCAAAAUCUACCUGCAAGGAGAAAGUAAAAGUUUCUGUGAACAACAUAGCUUGUUCAAUUCAAUUGCAUUUCUGCAAUCAAGGCUACCCCUAAAUUUAUAUUUUAUAAACUUUAAGUUUCACCAAGUACUAACAGCUAUAAACAAAUAUUUAUUCCCUGAUCGUGUUUUACCAUCUAGAUGGAUAUUGGUUUCUGACUUCCAAGCCAAUGGUAGAUGUUAGUGAUGAGAAUGAGGUGAGGAGGAAGGCAGACUGGCAGGCAAACAGUCAGACAGUACACAGUAGAUCUUGACCACUUGGCUCCCUACUGCUCUGUGGGGCAGUGGUGUCCUGCUGGGCACAGCCCCUGAACACCUCUUGCUGCCUGCCACCAAGGGGGAAACAAUUCUAACUGUCCCACUGAUAGUCAAAUGGAGGGCCCUUCAGGAUCUUAUGGGCGGGGACAAGUUCCCAAGAGCUGUUAUAUAGUCCUAAAUCUACCUACAUUUUCUACUGGGCCCAGAAACUUCUUCCCCAGUCACAGCAUCCUACUCAUGCCUUCCCUACUUCCUGUGCAUACCUGCAAUGAGGUCACAAUUCCAGGUUUACAUCACCAGAGUCCUGAAACCCUCUAGGGACAACUCAGGCUUCGUCAGCAUAUUUCAGCGCAGAUUCAAACACACCAAAAUAGUAUCAACUUGAUUAUUUGUGUUUCACAUUUGUGAUAAAAUGUGAAAGAGCUGCAGCAUGUACUCCAGGGUGAGAAUUUCACUUCCUACAUAUGCAACUUUUAUGUAUUAACAGCUUCUUCAAACACUUAUUAGGCAUGAGUAAGGCAGCAGGGGGAAGGUAUUCAAAAGUGAACUAAGACAUGUAUUGGACUUCCCUAGAGGUCCCAUGGUUGGACAGCUGGGAAGAUUUCACAUCCUGGGGGGCAACUGAGCCCGUGUGCUACAGCUACUGGAUUCAAGCUCUAGAGUCGUAAGUACUGAGCCCAUGCUCUGCAUUAAGAGAAGCCACUGCAAUGAGAAGCCCACGCACUACAACUAGAGAGUUGCCCCAACUCACUUCAACUAGUGAAAGCCCACAUGCAGCAACGAAGACCCAGUGCAACCAAAAAAUAAAAAAGACAUGCAUUGCCCUUGCCUUCAGUGAGCUCAUAUUGGAGUGGGGGAGAGAAGCCAUCUGCACAAAGGGCUGGAAACCCAAGCAGCACGGGACACACAAGGAAGACAGAACGAUCAAGUGCAAAAGCUGCUUGUGCUUCAUCCAGUCCCUUGGACUGCAAGGAGAUCAAACCAGUCAAUCCUAAAGGAAAUCAGCCCUGAAUAUUCAUUGGAAGGACUGAUGUUGAAGCUGAAACUCCAAUACUUUGGCCACCUGAUGUGAAGAACUGACUCAUUGGAAGUGACCCUGAUGCUGGGAAAGAUUGAAGGCAGGAGGAGAAGGGGACGAUAGAGGAUGAGAUGGCUGGAUGGCAUCACCGACUCGAUGGACAUGAGUUUGAGCAAGCUCCGGGAGCUGGUGAUGGACAGGGAAGCCUGGAGUGCUACAGUCCCUGGCGUGGCAAAGAGUCAGACAUGACUGAACUGAACUGACUGAUUGUUAACUUAAGCACUAUCUGCCUUCUGCUUUGAAUAUUACUUAUGGUGGUGGUGAGGAGACAUUUACUGCUUCUGGAGAUGUUGACAGAGCCUAUGAAGGGACAAGUCAAGGUGUUCCAGUUUUGGACUUCUGAGAAGAAAUUCAGCUCCCAUUCAGCACCGCACCAAGCCUUGUUGGGGCCAGUGUGAGAAAGCAGGAGAGACUCUGUCUUGAAGCCUGUCAUCCAUGUUAAAGACAGGAUGUGAACUGGGCCUGAACACUGCCCAAGAGUUAGGAAACUGUUGCUAGUGAAAACCAGGUCUCCUGGAGACUUCCCUCCCUGCAGAUGAGAACGGAGAUUGUAGUUGAGGUCAGGCAGCCCCUGUUAGAUUAACCAUGGAGACAUCCCUGCUUGAUGUAUAAUCAUUGUUCCCACUCUUUAAACCUUAAUUGUUUGUUCUCCUAGCACCUACUUGUUGUAAAACUCAAUCAUAUACAACAAAGAGGUUGCUAACAUGUAACCACUCAUGUAGUAGGGGGUAUAAAACUGGGCCUCUCAGAAACAUCAGGGUCCUUGUUGGGAACUGAUUGCCCUUGGACCCACUGGUGUAAUAAACUCUUCUCCACUGUC